rnacentral:snRNA from 1 species
GUGCUCGCUUUGGCAGCAUAUGUACUAAAGCUAGAAUGAUGCGAAGAAGAUUAGCAUGGCCCCUGCGCAAGGAUGACUUGUAAAUUCUUGAAGCAUUCCAUACUUUU